rnacentral:misc_RNA from 1 species
GGCGGCGCUAACCCGGUGAUGUAUUAAUUCAAGCCUUGUAAGAAUAUCAUAAAGAUUUAGGAUUUUCAGUCAGUGUUCUUUCGUGUGGUUCUUCCAGAAACGGCUUAUAUUAACACGAGACCGGCAUAACACCGCCUUCAUAGUUUCAAACUGUUUUUGAAUAUCCCACUUUUAGACAGUUCCACUAGGGGCGUUCGACAGAUGGCGCUAAUUUUAGUGUAUUUUUAUUUUUUGUAAGUAGGUUAGAAUUUAUGUUUACUCAUUGUGCUCCAUCACACUAAUAUUAUAAAGGCGAAUGUUUGUGUGUGUGUAUAGCUAUAAACUGCUGGAUUGCAGCUGUAAUAUACGCCAUCACUUUGGCCUUGUCGUUUUGGUGCAUGAAACAUGCAAGGAAUAAGGAUAAGGUGGCGGCUUUGAAUGUAACC